rnacentral:lncRNA from 1 species
CCAUACCCCUAACCUAAUCCCUACCCCUAUAUAAUAGUACCUAAUCCCUAAAUUGAGGGGGACCCAAAAAAUAUCAUCCGCCGUAUUCCCAAAAAAUGAGAACCCCAUCCCAAAUGAUCUUCUUCAUCUGGUGAGUCAAGAAAAGAAUACAAAGAAAAAGGAGACAUUGAGACUUGAACAAUCAGCCGAUAUACACUUGAAAAGAGCCGAAAAAGACAAUGAAAAAUAGGCCUAAAACCUAGGGAAAAAUCUGAAAACAGACCCGCCACAGAACAAAAGCAACCCCCUCCCCAUCAGAUUCAUCUUCUCCUUCACUUGGAGGAACGAAGACCUAAACCGGCUUCAGCCCCAAACUUGCCGGGUUAACGAGCUCCAGCCGCGACAAACAGAACUAAACGACCCACAACAACAGCACACCCUAAGCAGCCAUACACGCACAGUCACACCUCUCAUUUUUUCACUUUCCGGCGAGUUUCGAGGCUUCCAUGUCGAGGUUCCGGUUCGUUAGUUUCGUUGUUUCAGCUCACCUAUCAUGGCUUUGGUAUGUUUAUUAGAUCUUCAUUGAUUCCUGUUGACAUAAAAUAUAGAUCUAGAUUUUAAUUUUUGAUGGAUUUAUAAUCACGAUUUCAACUUUAUUGCUGGCCUGUUGAUGUGUUAGAAAUUUUGUACAUUUUGGUUGUGAGUUUUGCAGUGUUUUUUUGUGAAUUAUUAUUGUACUUUAUUUUGAUAAGUUCUAAGUUUGGUUUUGCUUAAUAAUUUUAUUUGUAUCUAUUAAGUAUUGAGUUAUUAGUUAUUACUACUAUGACUGCAUGAGUUGUAAGAUCCAAGUGGAGGUUAAUUAUUUUGCUGAAUUUUCCUUUUGACGAUGCCGAUAAGCUAUUUGUAUCCGUCUUCUUCUUCAAAAAAAAAGGUUUUGCAUUCACUUAAUUAAGUAGAGCCAAAUUAGCUCAAGUGUUCGAUCACUUUUCAGUUAAUUUUCCAAAGAAAUGUGUAAUUUACUUGUUAUUUUGAGGACUCAUUUACACUGUCGAUUUGUGAUUCUACGUUGUUUGGGCAACAUGUCUUAGUUUUCCUUUAAAUUAUUUUAAUUAGUUUUAUUUCUAUUGUGAUGUAUGUAGUCUUGGGUUCUUGAAUAAAUGCUUUUAAUUGAGUAGAUGAAAAAAAUUAGAGUUGUUUCUUUCUUGGUAAGGAAUUAUAAUGGGCCAUAAGGUGGGUCUUGAACAAUAAGGAAUCUGGCCAAGUAAUAGAUCAUGUUAGCUAGCUUAUUCACUCCCCAUCAUAAAUUUGGCAUCACAAUAAUCUCAAAGAUUAGGAAAAUAAUCAAAUGCGCUAGUUGCUUUAGGUGCAAUUAAUAAUAAAAGAUCGUGACUAUGGGUACGGUUCCCGUAACAUAGCCUUGAUACCUAAUUCCCAAAUUCGGGUGUGCAUUUAUGUGACCCAAAUCCAAAUCUCAACAACGUUAGAUAAAAUGUGUCGGGGACGCGGGUGCAUUUAUGUGACGUGGUUCAAGACGUGUUUUAGAUGAUGUUGAAUCUUUCUAAAAUUAAUUAAAAGCGCCUUAAAUAAGUUAAAAUAUACCAUAGGUUAAAACAUGUAUUAAAAUUAGAUAAUAGGCCAAUUGUAACAGUUGAGCGACUGUGCUAGAACCACGGAACACGGGAAUGCCUAACACCUUUUCCCGAGUUAACAGAAUUCCUUACCCGGAUUUCUGUGUUCGCGGACUGUAAUACAGAGUCAAUCUUUUCCUCGAUUCGGGAUUUGAACCGGUGACUUGGGACACCAUAAAAUUAUCACAAGUGGCGACUCUGAUUUUUAAUAAAAAAUGAUCCCUUUUCGAUUGUCACUUAAAUUGGAAAAAAUUCCCUUGUAUAUACCUUCGGGUGUAGUAAAAAGGAGGUGUGACAAGGUUGAGUUCCACCGACCAACCAUCAUGGAAAAGUCUAGAAAAAUCACAGGUUCUCCGGGGCUUGAAAUGAAAUCGGUCCUCAGAGAACAAGUAGUUACAGUUGAGAUCUUCAUCAAAGAAGCCGGAUCGAGAUCAAGUGAUUGAAACAAUCAAGGCCACAAAACCAACCACAAAACUAACAAUUGUUUUUUGUUUGAAAACAUGAAACAAGUGCAAUCCAAAGCAACCUUGCAAGAAGUAGAUGCAAACAAAAAGAAACUGUGCAAGGGCUAGAAAUAGCUUUGCAGCAAUAAUCAAUCCAAAAAGGAAGUCUCCUCCAAAUUCUUUCCUGCAUUUUACUCAUUUUCUUAAAUUAAAAAGAAAAAAAAAUGAAAUGAAAGAAAGAAGAAGAAAAAUUCAAAAUCAUGGUAGCAUAAAGUCUCCAAUCUCUAGCUACGUCUUUCCCAACAUAGGGUCCCAUUCCCUAGUCGAUGCCAACAUAACCUGGUAAUAUUUCCAACAUAGGGUCCCACCCCUAGUUGAUCCCGACAUAACCCGAGGACCUUUCUGGCAUAACCCGAUGACCUUCCCCGGCAUAACCCGAGAACCUUUCCGGCAUAACCCGACGACCUUCCCCGGCAUAACUUGAGGACCUUUCCGGCAUAACCCGUGGACUUUUUCCGGCAUAACCCGAAGACCUCCCCGACAUAACCCGAGGACCUUUCUGGCAUAACCCGAUGACCUUCCCCGACAUAACCCGAGGACCUUUCCGGCAUAACCUGGUGACUUUUCCUGGCAUAACCAGAGGACCUUUCCGGCAUAACUCGUAGACUUUUUUCGGCAUAACCCGAUGACCUCCCCGGCAAACCCGAUGACCUUUCCGACAUAACUCGGUCAUUUUUCCAGCAUAACCUGGUAGUUUUCCCAACUUAGGGCCUCCGAUCCCUAUUUUAUUUCAUCUUAGAUAUAUGGUCUCCACUCUCUAAUCUCUUUUUCUCAAGGAUACACAAUCCCGAUUUUAUUGCUUUCAAUACAUAAAUAGUUUAGAUUUUGUUGCAAUAACUCAUAAAAUUUUCAUAGUGAAAACUGGGGUAGAAAAAUUUCGUUCAUUUGUUUGUUUUGGUGCCUGAACUGGUUUUUACCAUAAGGAACGAGGUUUAGGAUGACCAGAAGAAGAAGUCUCGACUCAAAUAAAAAAAAGGAAAAACAAGAAAAAGUGAACUUUAAGUGUAUAAGCGGAGAAAAGAUGCGGACUGCACAAGAUAUGAUUGAAGUCACCAGCUUUGCAUGUCCCGCCUUGAUCCGAAAACUGAAGAAGAAUGAACCAGCGGUUCCAGCUAACGAACAUCAAUAUUCAGAUCAAAGUCUGCAGAAAGAACCAGCAAGACUCAAGAUCAAGCUUUAGAAGGUUUAUAGAUAGGAAUCUUGUAACUCAUAGUUGAUAGACUUAGUUAAUUUAGCUUUUCAUAUUUUAUUUCGGUGUAAUAAGGAGCUCAGCAAGCAGAAACAGCAGCAACAAUAGUGAAAUCACAGUUUCUCGGUAGUCCUAACUACCAAAACUUCCAGAACUACACUGACCUAAUUCCUUUAUAGCCAAGGAUAUGGAGGCAAUCUUCGAAGAAGGGUUCGGUCAGACUUUUUCCAAAAAAAAAAGAAUGCUUCUCAUGGACUUUCAAACGGGCAAAAAUCGCUCGUAGUUGCUCAUUUUAUCUUUUCUCGAAAACUCUUCGUGUUUUCGAGCAAAGAGGGGCAGCUGUGAGCACGUAAUUUUUGCCCUGUUAGAAGUACUCCUACAAAAUUAAAGAAAGUAGAUUUUUCCAAAUUAUUUACAAUUUUAUAGGAUUUUUGUAGGAUUUUAUUAAUUGUUUGCAUUUUUGUGCAAGUUUAAUUUUUGUUAAAAAAUCAUGAAAAAUGCCCAAAAAUAUUAAAAAUAUCAUGCAUUGCAUAUUAGAUUUUUUGUUCAUAUUUUAGGAUUAAUUCGUUAAUUAAUUGCUUUAUUAAAAUAAAAAUCACAAAAAAUAUCAUUCGUUUUACAUUUUUAGUUUUUAAUGCUAAAUUAGUAAUUUUCUCUUCUUUAAUUUAGGAUUAACUAAUUUUGUAAUUAUUAUAAAUAGUAGUUAGUUUGAUUUUAUAUGUAAUAUUAAUUUAGAAUUUAAUUUAGGGCUUAAUUAAUUUAAUUAGUUUUUUUUUUAAUUUAAAGAAAAGAAAAGAAAACAAAGAAAAGGAAAAUGAGAAAGAAAACAAUUGGGUUUUCUGAUAAUUGGGUCAUCUCAAAGAGCAAAUGCAAUGACCCAAUUACCCCUCUUAACCUGUUUGCACCUCAAGCCCAAUUCGGAUCCGCCCGGUCCAAACCCCCACUUACCAAAACGGCACCGUUUUAUUGCCAUCUAAUCCCAGCCAUUGGAUUCUCUUGAUCGAACGGCUCACAACUCCAAGCCUAAAUCCCUUAUAACUGUCUGAAGCCAACCCUCCCAAACCCCUAACACCAGUUCAUUCCCUCUCUCAAACACUCUCAAAUGAGAAACCCUAGCCGCCCCUUUAACCCCUGCCGUGGUCCGCCGACCGGAAAUUGCCUCACGACAGUGGACCACCUCCAAACUCCACCAAAUUAACACUAGAUAACAACCAUAACCUCCUCAUCUUAUAUCUAUCACCGAUUUCUCCAAAAUCUUUACCCAUUUUCUCCAAUUUCAGAUCUAAAACUCAGAAAAAAACCCUAAACCUUCCUUUUCUCUUUGAUAUUUAUGGUUUCAAAGGCUCGAUUUGAGCCAAAGUUUAUGCCAAUCGAUUGUUCUUGACAAGAACAAUCGAUUAGCGUUAGUUUUGGUUUAUUUCAAGACCUGUCGGACUCCGACCAAGCACCUACUGACCCGCCAAAGCUCCGAGGCUUACACAAUUCAUGCACCUACCUCAGUACCUACUUAAUCUCCCGUAAGCUCAGUAGUUUAUUCUUCUUUCCCUUUCUUUUCUGUUUCUUCUCAUGCGUUAUUAUUUCUGCAUUACUAUUUUGGGUUUCAAGUUUAUCUUUAUUUUUCCUUUUUGGCUUUGUUCUUGACUACUGCAUUACAAUAAAGUUUAGCUCAAGUUAAUUGCAUAAUUUUAUAGUUAAUAACAUUGUUAUUUAGUUGACCUCUUUUCAUUUAAUCUAGUUGAAUCAAUUUAAUUAAACUAGUUUCUGUACUUAGAUUACUCAAAUGCAUGUUAGUUAAUUUAGAUUAUAAGUUUGUUUAAUUAACCCUAAGGUUGUAACCAUAUGAUGUGUCAUGCAGUCUUGAUUUGUUUAGAGGUCUGAUGUGCGUCCUUGUUUGCUAUUCAAAAUUCAGUAGAAACCUUAGUUGACAAUUGGAUAUUAGGAGUCUGAAAAGGUAAUAACAAGAACCUAAAAGGGGGACAAUGGGGAAAUAAGAUAGGGGUUUGAUAUCAGAAGCUUCUAGAAGGGGUUAAUGAGUAAUCAAACAAUCUGAAUUUAGGUCAGAAUUGGUUAGGAUUGAAAUAAAUCAGCAAAUGGUAGGGUAAAAUUGGUUUUACACAAGGUAAAAAAUCAGAAUGUUCUAGCAUUUUGUACAACUGCCCCUUUCUUAGCAAAAGAUGCUGAAAUUGGGUUGGAAAAAGGACAUACAACUGUCAAAGAUGCUGUACUAUUCUGAAAUUUUAGAAUUUAGGUUAGAAUAUUCCCUUUUUGAUGCCAUCUUUGUACACUCUAUAAAAAAGAAAAGCAUUCACUCAUUCACACACAUACACACGUUCAAAUUUCAGAACCAUAAAAUACACUCUAAAAAGUUCAGCUGCUGUGUUCUUAGAAGUUGAUUCCUUUCCUCUGAUUUUAACAAAACACUCAAAAACCUCCCUGAUAUUUCUGGUCUACAUAAGUUGAAAAAUAUGGUUUGAAAGUGAAGAUUCGUGAGUUCUUUGGGGUUUACUGCUAUUAGUUGCUGUAGCUGUUUGGUUUUGGUUUAAUUUGGCUGUUGUUGUUUGAUUUCUGUUGCGGCUUCACUUCUUUCAAGCUUCAGCCAGUUCUUGUUUUUCAUCUAUUAUUUGCUGGUUUUUGUUUCCGUUUGUUCAAGGUACUAAAUCCAAUACUUCUUCAUAUAAUGCUUGUUAAAAUGAUAUAAAAUUGAAGCUUCAGAAUUCAUGUGAUGAAUGGAUGUCCAUGUUUCUCCAUAUUUCUCCAUUGAAUGAGUUUUUGUUUAGUCCAUGUUUGAGUACAUGUAUCUUCUAUGUUAAGUAUUGGAUUUUUAUUGUAUGUGUUAGUUUUGUCCAGGUUUGGUCGCAUUUGUUCUUCUAAAUUAAUGUUUUGGACUGACCAUGUCAUAAUCUAGUUGAUCCAGCAUGUUACUUAGAAUUCCUUCUUUCCUAGUAUUUGAUGCUAUUCAUAGUGAUGAUAUCUUUGCUGAGGGACAUCUAUUUGAGAGAUGGGAUUUCAGGUUGAAGCAAUAUUAAGGAUGUAAAUCUGAUUACCAGUUGGUCAGAUUUACUCCUGAAAAGUGCAAGAACAAUGAACUUGGGCUACAAAGGGUUGAAGUGUGGCUAGAUGCAACAUCUAAAUUCUGCAGUUGAUUAAGACUCAAUCAGAUUUGAAAGGCUGUAAUUAAUAAAAUCAUGUUUUGUUAAUCUAAUUAAAUAGGUUUCGUUUGAUCUAUGAUCCUUUCCUUAUCAUUUUGGUUCAAUAUAGUUUAAAGUUGUUUAAUCAUGUAAUUUACAAAUUGGUUAGAAGAUCCUGAUUAUCAAUGUUGGUUCAACACUUUAAUUUAUUAGAAAUUGUGUAAUAACUUGCUAUGUGGAAUCAAGCCUCAAUAGGGCCUUAGUAUUAAAGGCCCUCCUACUAGAAA